GACGAACGCUGGCUGCGUGCUUAACACAUGCAAGUCGAACGAAGUGGCGAACGGGUGAGUAACGCGUAAUCAACCUGCCCUUCAGAGGGGGACAACCGUUGGAAACGACUGCUAAUACCGCAUACUGAUGGCGGGGCUUCCGUAUGCUUGGCUAGUUGGAGGGGGAACGGCCCACCAAGGCGAUGAUCAGUAGCCGGUCUGAGAGGAUGAACGGCCACAGUGGGACUGAGACACGGCCCAGACUCCUACGGGAGGCAGCAGUGGGGAAUCUUCCGCAAUGGACGAAAGUCUGACGGAGCAACGCCGCGUGAGUGAUGACGGCCUUCGGGUUGUAAAGCUCUGUUAAUCGGGACGCGGUACCGGAAUAGAAAGCCACGGCUAACUACGUGCCAGCCGCCGCGGUAAUUC
rnacentral:rRNA from 1 species